CAGUUCAAGAGUUUUCUGGUGAAAACAGAAGUAAUUCUUCAUUCUACAGAACUUUGCUGAUUAAUCAUAUUUUGCUAAGAAAAGGUGAUAGCAAAAAUUCCUAAUCUGAGUCAAGAAAAUCAGAUUAUUUCCAUCAAGAUGACAGGACAAUUAAAAUCACACUUUAAGGUCUAAAACUAUGAUUUCUUUAUGACCAGGAGGGAAAAAGCAAAGUGAUAAUUCUUAAAGGAGGAAAAGCAUAACAAAAGUGAAUAACAGCCGAAUAUAUCCUUUGUGCAGAAUACCUGACAAUCACUGGUGUAGUAAGCAUACCUGACCACUGGCACUUAGUCUCAGUAACAUUGAGAUAUUUUAGGGAGACAUGAAUCAAUAUUCCAGGUGCUUGAAAAAAUACAGAAUUUAUC
rnacentral:lncRNA from 1 species